AUGGCCUCCGUAUCACUGCCACGCAGGAAGAACCUCUCCGCGCAACAGGCUUUGGCCUUGCUUCAGGAAAUGGACGAAGCAGAUUCUGAUGGAGGAGAGGUUUCAUUUGUCCAGCAGGCCACUGAUACCUCCUCAGAAGAAUCUGAAAAGGAGACGGAACAAGAACCCAACAUGCCUCCAUGGAAGAGGCCCCGUUGUACUGGGAAGCCCAGCCAGAGCCACACAGCAAAAGACGGCACUGUGUGGGUUGAGGAGGACAUUGGAAUGCCCAGUGCAGAAGCAAAUCGUUCGUGCUUCACUGCGCAAGCUGGACCCACAGAGUCUGCUAAGCGUAAGAUUACAAGUGUGCUCCAAAGCUUCCUUUGCCUGUUAGACGUGGGAAUGCUGCAGACCAUCAGAGAGUGCACGGUACAUCAAGCCCGCAGGACAGAGCCGGACUGGAAUUUGUCAGCUCAUGAACUGAUGGCAUUCAUUUCAAUCCUGUUUGUAAGAGCAAUCAUGUGUCCUGUUGGUGCCAUUGUGGAUUGCUGGUCAGAAAGAUUUCUUGUGCCAGUAAUCAAAGAGACAAUGCCCCGAGAUAGAUUCAUUUCAAUUAUGCAACACCUUCGAUUUGAUGACAGGGACACGCGGGCAGAACUCUGUAUGAUAAACAGGUGCAGGUUUCUACGUAGAUGACAUUUUAGUGACUGGCCACACAGAGGAAGGGUGUAAACAAAAUACUAUGGCUGUGUUACGUCACUUGGCUGAGCAAGGCCACAAAGUAUCUCUGAAUAAACUCUAAUUAGGGAGACCUGAAUUAACAUACUUAGGGCACACCCUCUCCGGUGAAGGAAGAAAACUACUAAACAAAAGAAAAGAAGCCAUAAAAAAUGCACUACAGCCACAAACUAAGCAACAGAUGAUGGGUUUUCUCGGGUUAUGCAAUUUCUGCAGGGCAUGGAUUCCAGAAUAUGCAGCAUGCGUACAACCACUGCAAAACCUAAUCCAUGGAAAAGAUCUUGAUUUAAAAGAUAAAAUACAGUGGACACCAGAAGCAGAAAACCCAUUCUUCCCAAAUCGUUACACAAAACAGCCGCUCUAGUGAGCCAUGGUUUAAGCCAGGGGUCCCCAAUCCCAGUCCACGAGGGCCAGUGUCCCUGCAGGUUUUAGAUGUAUCCUUGAUCCAUCAC
rnacentral:lncRNA from 1 species